GUCAUGGUGCCCUUGAUGAUGCCUGCAACGAAGCACCCACAAGUUGUCAUUCAAUUUUCAAGGGUUCAUAUCUUCUCAAUAUUCCCAUUAACAGGCGUGGUAGUACAGGGGCUCCAACUCAACACCUAGCAUGAAAAUUCUUAACGAGAAAAGGAUAAAGAAGAGAGAAGGAAUUGAUUACCAAACUUCUGGUCAAGGACCUUG
rnacentral:misc_RNA from 1 species